rnacentral:rRNA from 1 species
AUUGAACGCUGGCGGCAUGCUUUACACAUGCAAGUCGAACGCGGUUCGGGGGCAACCCCGGACUGAGUGGCGAACGGGUGAGUAAUGCAUCGGAACGUACCCCGUCGUGGGGGAUAACCAGUCGAAAGACUGGCUAAUACCGCAUACGACCUGAGGGUGAAAGCGGGGGACCGGAAGGCCUCGCGCGAUGGGAGCGGCCGAUGCCGGAUUAGCUAGUAGGUAGGGUAAAGGCCUACCUAGGCGACGAUCCGUAGCUGGUCUGAGAGGAUGAUCAGCCACACUGGGACUGAGACACGGCCCAGACUCCUACGGGAGGCAG